AGAGUUUGAUUAUGGCUCAGGAUGAACGCUGGCGGCGUGCUUAACACAUGCAAGUCGAACGCUGAAGCCCCAGCUUGCUGGGGUGGAUGAGUGGCGAACGGGUGAGUAACACGUGAGUAACCUUCCCUUGACUCUGGGAUAAGCCCGGGAAACUGGGUCUAAUACCGGAUACGACCUCCUGCCGCAUGGUGUGGGGGUGGAAAGAUUUAUCGGUUUUGGAUGGACUCGCGGCCUAUCAGCUUGUUGGUGAGGUAAUGGCUCACCAAGGCGACGACGGGUAGCCGGCCUGAGAGGGUGACCGGCCACACUGGGACUGAGACACGGCCCAGACUCCUACGGGAGGCAGCAGUGGGGAAUAUUGCACAAUGGGCGCAAGCCUGAUGCAGCGACGCCGCGUGAGGGAUGACGGCCUUCGGGUUGUAAACCUCCUUCAGUAGGGAAGAAGCGAAAGUGACGGUACCUGCAGAAGAAGCGCCGGCUAACUACGUGCCAGCAGCCGCGGUAAUACGUAGGGCGCGAGCGUUAUCCGGAAUUAUUGGGCGUAAAGAGCUCGUAGGCGGUUUGUCGCGUCUGCCGUGAAAGUCCGGGGCUUAACCCCGGAUCUGCGGUGGGUACGGGCAGACUAGAGUGCAGUAGGGGAGACUGGAAUUCCUGGUGUAGCGGUGAAAUGCGCAGAUAUCAGGAGGAACACCGAUGGCGAAGGCAGGUCUCUGGGCUGUUACUGACGCUGAGGAGCGAAAGCAUGGGGAGCGAACAGGAUUAGAUACCCUGGUAGUCCAUGCCGUAAACGUUGGGCACUAGGUGUGGGGGACAUUCCACGUUUUCCGCGCCGCAGCUAACGCAUUAAGUGCCCCGCCUGGGGAGU
rnacentral:rRNA from 1 species